GUGACCUCAGAUCAGGUAG
rnacentral:rRNA from 1 species